AUACCGGGUCUCACACUGUCACCCAGGCUGGAGUACAGUGGCACAACCUCUGCUCACUGCAGCCUCCACCUGCCAGGCUCAAGCAAUUCUCCUGCCUCAGCCUCCCGAGUAGCUGGGAUUACAGGAAGUGAGCUCACAAUGACUCAAGCUGCCACAUACUGUUGAUUGUGAAAUGCCAGUUGAAGCAUAUGUCCUGUGAGCUUAGGGGUGCUACAAGUUGACCACUGCAGCAGUAAAGAUGACUCUGAAGAAUGGCGUGGGAUGGAUCCUUUCAAAUGCACUUGAGCAGCGGUCUCCAACCACAGGGCCACAGAGCUGGAGCUGGAUCUACCAUGAAGGACUUCUGAAUCCAGGAAGAGAGACUGACUGGGCAACAUGUUAUUCAGAAUCUCCCUGUGUCAUCCAGGCUGGAGUGCAGUGAUGUGAUCAUAGCUCACUAUAGCUUUGGCCUUCUGAGAUCAAGCAAUCCUCCCAUCUCAACCUCCCAAGUAGCUAGGACUACACAUGCAUGUCACCCAUGCCCAGCUCAUUUUUGUAGAGUCAGAGUUUCACCAUGGUGGCCAGGUUGGCCAUGUCGGCCAGAUGGGGUCUUCUUUUGUUGCCCAGGCUGGCCACAAAUUCCUGGGCUCAAGUGAUCCUCCCACCUCGUCCUUGUAGAGAUGAGAUUUAGUUAUGUCGUCCAGGCUGAUCUCAAACUCCUCGGCUAAAUCGAGGUCUCCCUCUGUUGUCCAAGGCUGGAGUGUAGUAGUGCUAUCGCAGCUGACUGCAGCCUCAACCUUCCAGGCUGAAGCGAUCCUCCUACCUCAACCUCCCACGUGGCUGAGACUACAGGUGCUUGACACUAUGCCCAACUAAUAUUUGGAAUUUUCGUAUACGUGGAUUCCAGAGGGGUGACAGCGUAACGUGA
rnacentral:lncRNA from 1 species